AUUCGUGUGAGGAGUGCUAAGCGCCUCUUCAGGGUCGAAACAAGGACAGACUCCUGCAACGCGCUUCACUU
rfam:Synechococcus WH7803 complete genome sequence.